UACGAAGGGGGCUAGCGUUGCUCGGAAUCACUGGGCGUAAAGCGCACGUAGGCGGAUCGUUAAGUCGGGGGUGAAAUCCUGGAGCUCAACUCCAGAACUGCCUUUGAUACUGGCGAUCUUGAGUCCGGGAGAGGUGAGUGGAACUCCGAGUGUAGAGGUGAAAUUCGUAGAUAUUCGGAAGAACACCAGUGGCGAAGGCGGCUCACUGGCCCGGUACUGACGCUGAGGUGCGAAAGCGUGGGGAGCAAACAGG
rnacentral:rRNA from 1 species